UGUGUAGGCGGUUGCUUAAGCUUGGUGUGAAAUCUCCCGGCUCAACUGGGAGGGUGCGCCGAAUACUGAGUGACUAGAGUGCGGGAGAGGAGAGUGGAAUUCCUGGUGUAGCGGUGAAAUGCGUAGAUAUCAGGAGGAACACCGGUGGUGUAGACGGCUCUCUGGACCGUAACUGACGCUGAGACACGAAAGCGUGGGUAGCAAACAGGAUUAGAUACCCUGGUAGUCCACGCCCUAAACGAUGCAUAUUUGGUGUGGGCAGUUCAGUCUGUCCGUGCCGGAGCUAACGCGUUAAAUAUGCCGCCUGGGGAGUACAGUCGCAAGGCUGAA
rnacentral:rRNA from 1 species